rnacentral:rRNA from 1 species
AAACCAACAGGGAUUGCCUUAGUAACGGCGAGUGAAGCGGCAAGAGCUCAAAUUUGAAAUCUGGCACUUUCAGUGUCCGAGUUGUAAUUUGAAGAAGGUAUCUUUGGAGUUGGCCCCUGUCUAUGUUCCUUGGAACAGGACGUCACAGAGGGUGAGAAUCCCGUGCGAUGGGGAGACCAAUUCUAUGUAAAGUUCCUUCGAAGAGUCGAGUUGUUUGGGAAUGCAGCUCUAAGUGGGUGGUAAAUUCCAUCUAAAGCUAAAUAUUGUCGAGAGACCGAUAGCGAACAAGUACAGUGAUGGAAAGAUGAAAAGAACUUUGAAAAGAGAGUGAAAAAGUACGUGAAAUUGUUGAAAGGGAAGGGCUUUUGAUCAGACUUGGUGUUUAGUACUCUCUACUCCUUGUGGGUGGGGCUCUUGCUUUAUACUGGGCCAGCAUCGGUUUGGAUGGCAGGAUAAUGGCUGUUGAACGUGGCUUCACUUGUGGAGUGUUAUGCCUUCAGCUGAUACUGCCUAUCUAGACCGAGGACUGCGUCUUUGACUAGGAUGCUGGCGUAAUGAUUAAAAGCCGC